GAUGAACGCUGACGGCGUGCCUAAUACAUGCAAGUCGAGCGAACGGACGAGAAGCUUGCUUCUCUGAUGUUAGCGGCGGACGGGUGAGUAACACGUGGAUAACCUCCCUAUAAGACUGGGAUAACUUCGGGAAACCGGAGCUAAUACCGGAUAAUAUUUUGAACCGCAUGGUUCAAAAGUGAAAGACGGUCUUGCUGUCACUUAUAGAUGGAUCCGCGCUGCAUUAGCUAGUUGGUAAGUUAACGGCUUAUCAAGGCAACGAUGCAUAGCCGACCGGAGAGGGUGAUCGGCCACACGGGAACUGGGACAGGGUCCAGACGCCUACGGGAGGCAGCAGUAGGGAAUCUUCCGCAAUGGGCGAAAGCCUUACGGAGCAACGCCGCGUGAGAGAUGAAGGUCUUCGGAUCGUAAAACUCUGUUAUUAGGGAAGAACAUAUGUGUAAGUAACUGUGCACAUCUUGACGGUACCUAGUCAGAAAGCCACGGCUAACUACGUG
rnacentral:rRNA from 1 species